UACGUAGGGUGCAAGCGUUGCCCGGAUUUAUUGGGCGUAAAGGGCGCGUAGGCGGCCAGCGCAAGUCAGUUGUGAAAUCUCCGGGCUUAACUCGGAACGGUCAGAUGAUACUGCUUUGCUAGAGUACAGAAGGGGCAAUCGGAAUUCUUGGUGUAGCGGUGAAAUGCGUAGAUAUCAAGAGGAACACCUGAGGUGAAGACGGGUUGCUGGGCUGAUACUGACGCUGAGGCGCGAAAGCUAGGGUAGCAAACGGG
rnacentral:rRNA from 1 species